rnacentral:rRNA from 1 species
UACGGAAGGCAGCAGUGGGGAAUAUUGCACAAUGGGCGCAAGCCUGAUGCAGCCAUGCCGCGUGUAUGAAGAAGGCCUUCGGGUUGUAAAGUACUUUCAGUCGUGAGGAAGGUGUUAAGGUUAAUAACCUUAGCAAUUGACGUUAGCGACAGAAGAAGCACCGGCUAACUCCGUGCCAGCAGCCGCGGUAAUACGGAGGGUGCGAGCGUUAAUCGGAAUUACUGGGCGUAAAGGGCACGCAGGCGGUUAAUUAAGUUGGAUGUGAAAUCCCCGGGCUUAACCUGGGAAUGGCAUUCAAGACUGGUUAGCUAGAGUCUUGUAGAGGGGGUAGAAUUCCAUGUGUAGCGGUGAAAUGCGUAGAGAUGUGGAGGAAUACCGGUGGCGAAGGCGGCCCCUGGGACAAAGGACUGACGCUCAUGUGCGAAAGCGUGGGGAGCGAAAACAGGGAUUAGAUACC